rnacentral:lncRNA from 1 species
AUAUAAUUAAACACAAAUCGCAUUAUUAUAAAGAAAUCAUAAGAUUAACAAUAUCAUAUAGAGUUGUAGAUGGGUUGAUCCAAAGCAUUUACACCACUAAUUAUAACACAAAUGAAAUUAUAAACUUUGAGAUAACAUAGAAUUGUUUUUAAACUUACCAAUCGAAGACAUUUACAAAUAUGAUCAUGGCAUACCACAACAAGAGGAAGGUGAC